rnacentral:rRNA from 1 species
AUGGGCACCCACCAGUCUGGCGUGCUCCUCAACCAGGACGCCUGCCAGGUAUUGAGGCCGCCGCAGCCACUUGCCACCAAUCCAUCUUCAGAGUUGUACUGUUGCAUCAACCUUGCCCGGUCUAGCUGCCGCCGACGCCACCACGACGCCAGACAGCGUCGACCUCCUGCGUGUGUCCAUCACCACACAUCUGACGCCAGGCCUCCGCUGCUCCAUGCCGCCAAGAGCUGCCGCCAUGAAUAUGUAGAAAGAAACACCGCUCCACCGAAGAAGCCAUCCGCUGGUCCCUCGAGCCCGGGUGCAUCUCCAAGAUGCCGCCCCCAAGGGGGUAACGACACAUGA